GCAGCGCGUCGCGGUGGAGGGUGGGUCCGCUCCCCCUCCUUCAGUAUUUUGUUAUUUGGGCCUAGCCAAGGCUAGAUUCCUCUCAGAGCCAGAGAUGGACUGUUCGCCACCAGAGCAGAAUUGGCACGGACGGAGCAGUCUGCAGAGACGGCCGGGCAGCGUCUGUCCGCGGUCUGCAGACGGCUGAACUGCGUCUGUCCGCGGUCUGCAGACGACUGAACUGCGUCUGUCAGCGGUCUGCCGACGGCUGAACUGCGUCUGUCCGCGGUCUGCAGACGGCUGAACUGCGUCUGUCCGCGGUCUGCAGACGGCUGAACUGCGUCUGUCCGCGGUCUGCAGACGGCUGAACUGCGUCUGUCCGCGGUCUGCAGACGGCUGAACUGCGUCUGUCCGCGGUCUGCAGACGGCUGAACUGCGUCUGUCCGCAGUCUGCAGACGGUUGAACACACUGUCCGCGGUCUGCAGACGGCUGAACUGCGUCUGUCCGCGGUCUGCAGACGGCUGAACUGCGUCUGUCCGCGGUCUGCAGACGGCUGAACUGCGUCUGUCCCCGCUGACGCUCUGAGGAUGUCGUCCGGCCGCCGACCCAGCCGCGCGGUGACGCAGACACCGCGGCAGAGGCUACAUCGGCCCCGGAGGGACCGGGCAGAGGCUGCCAGCCGCGGCGGAGGCCACACCGGCCCUGUACUGCUGCCACUAGGGGCCGAUGGAUGCUACCCUGGAGGACCCGCCGGGCGCCGGGCGGACCUAUCGGCUCGUCUGACUGCCGCGUUAACUCGGACGGGUCCGAGCUGGCGCCUGCCGGAGACCGGAGACUGGAGCCGGUGGCGGACGGCCGCCGGCGCUCCGGUCCUAGCUCGCGCCUGCUGCGCGCGCAGCGUGUGCCGCCGCGCCGAGAGGACUGCCGACUGCAGGGGUCGGCACUGCGGUGAGAGAGCAGCUGUGCCGACUGCAGGGGGCGGCACUGCGGCCACUGCGUGCUGUGAACUCCGGCGGCCGUGUGCCGCGGCCAGGGCUGUGCUGUGACCACUGUGCUGUAGGUGGGCGGUGUGCCGCAGCCAGGGCUGUGCUGUGACCACUGUGCUGUAGGUGGGCGGUGUGCCGCAGCCAGGGCUGUGCUGUCACCACUGCUCUGUGAUGUCCGGUCGGCUGUGACAGUCCCUAGGCUCGGCAGUGGGGUUGUUGUGUACUUUGGUAAUGCGCUGGCCGCUACAAUUCACCGCUGCGAAGGGCAGAACGUCACAUGGCAGCUGUAGCCACUUUGUAAUGAAAUGGUUCAGUUAUGUGCGUGUGUCUCAGCUGUGUCAUGUUCAAUAUAUCGUCUACG